rnacentral:rRNA from 1 species
UACGAAGGGGGCUAGCGUUGCUCGGAAUUACUGGGCGUAAAGGGCGCGUAGGCGGACAGUUUAGUCAGAGGUGAAAGCCCAGGGCUCAACCUUGGAAUUGCCUUUGAUACUGGCUGUCUUGAGUUCGGGAGAGGUGAGUGGAAUGCCGAGUGUAGAGGUGAAAUUCGUAGAUAUUCGGCGGAACACCAGUGGCGAAGGCGGCUCACUGGCUCGAUACUGACGCUGAGGUGCGAAAGCGUGGGGAGCAAACAGG